AAGUGUUAUCCGCGCUGGACCGUGUACAAGUCUCCUGGAAUGGAGCGUCAUAGAGGGUGAGAAUCCCGUCUUUGACACGGACUACCAGGGCUUUGUGAUGCGCUCUCAAAGAGUCGAGUUGUUUGGGAAUGCAGCUCAAAAUGGGUGGUAAAUUCCAUCUAAAGCUAAAUAUUGGCGAGAGACCGAUAGCGAACAAGUACCGUGAGGGAAAGAUGAAAAGAACUUUGGAAAGAGAGUUAAACAGUACGUGAAAUUGCUGAAAGGGAAACGCUUGAAGUCAGUCGCGUUGUCCGGGAAUCAACCUUGCUUUUGCUGGGCGUACUUUCCGGUURACGGGUCAGCAUCAAUUUUGACCGUUGGAUAAAGUUCAGAGGAAUGUGGCAUCUUCGGAUGUGUUAUAGCCUUUGUUCGCAUACAACGGUUGGGAUUGAGGAACUCAGCACGCCGCAAGGCCGGGUAUUUAUACUACGUUCGUGCUUAGGAUGCUGGCAUAAUGGCUUUAAUCGACCCGUCUUGAAACACGGACCAAGGAGUCUAACAUGCCUGCGAGUGUUUGGGUGGAAAACCCGAGCGCGUAAUGAAAGUGAAAGUUGAGAUCCCUGUCGUGGGGAGCAUCGACGCCCGGACCAGACCUUUUGUGACGGAUCCGCGGUAGAGCAUGUAUGUUGGGACCCGAAAGAUGGUGAACUAUGCCUGAAUAGGGUGAAGCCAGAGGAAACUCUGGUGGAGGCUCGUAGCGAUUCUGACGUGCAAAUCGAUCGUCAAAUUUGGGUAUAGGGGCGAAAGACUAAUCGAACCAUCUAGUAGCUGGUUCCUG
rnacentral:rRNA from 1 species